rnacentral:rRNA from 1 species
CUACGGGCCGCUGCAGUGGGGAAUAUUGGACAAUGGGGGAAACCCUGAUCCAGCAAUGCCGCGUGUGUGAAGAAGGCCUGCGGGUUGUAAAGCACUUUCGGUUGGGAGGACUGCUUCUAGCACUAAUAUUGUUGGAAGUUGACGUUACCUUCAGAAGAAGCACCGGCUAACUCCGUGCCAGCAGCCGCGGUAAUACGGAGGGUGCGAGCGUUAAUCGGAAUUACUGGGCGUAAAGCGCGCGUAGGCGGCUAGAUCAGUCGGGUGUGAAAGCCCCGGGCUUAACCUGGGAACUGCAUCCGAUACUGGCUAGCUUGAGUACAGGAGAGGAGAGUGGAAUUCCACAUGUAGCGGUGAAAUGCGUAGAUAUGUGGAGGAACACCAAUGGCGAAGGCAGCUCUCUGGCCUGAUACUGACGCUGAGGUGCGAAAGCGUGGGGAGCAAACAGGAUUAGAUACCCUUGUAGUC